UACGUAGGGUGCAAGCGUUAAUCGGAAUUACUGGGCGUAAAGCGUGCGCAGGCGGUGAUGUAAGACAGUUGUGAAAUCCCCGGGCUCAACCUGGGAACUGCAUCUGUGACUGCAUCGCUGGAGUACGGUAGAGGGGGAUGGAAUUCCGCGUGUAGCAGUGAAAUGCGUAGAUAUGCGGAGGAACACCGAUGGCGAAGGCAAUCCCCUGGACCUGUACUGACGCUCAUGCACGAAAGCGUGGGGAGCAAGACGG
rnacentral:rRNA from 1 species